rnacentral:misc_RNA from 1 species
GAUGAAGAACGUAGCGAAAUGCGAUACGUAAUGUGAAUUGCAGAAUUCAGUGAAUCAUCGAAUCUUUGAACGCAUAUUGCGCUCUCUGGUAUUCCGGAGAGCAUGCUUGUUUGAGUAUCAGUAAACACCUCAACUUCCAUAUCUUUUUUGAAAUGGGAGUUGGACUUGAGUGAUCCCAACGCUUUUCCUCACCGAAAAGUGGCGGGUUACUUGAAAUGCAGGUGCAGCUGGACUUUUCUCUGAGCUAUAAGCAUAUCUAUUUAGUCUGCCUAAAAAACAGAUUAUUACCUUUGCUGCAGCUAACAUAAAGGAGAUUAGUUCUUGUGCUGACUGAUGCAGGAUUCACAAAGACAGGCUUCGGCCGACUUUGUAAACUCGAUCUCAAAUCAAGUAAGACUACCCGCUGAACUUAAGCAUAUCAAAUAAGCGGAGGA